rnacentral:misc_RNA from 1 species
GAACGCACCUUGCGCCCUUUGGCUAUUCCGAAGGGCAUGCCUGUUUGAGCGUCAUUUCAACCAUCAAGCCCUAGGCUUGUGUUGGGGCCCUGCGGCCGUCCGCAGCCCCCUAAAAACAGUGGCGGGCUCGCUAUAUACCGAGUGCAGUAGUUUACUCUUCGCUCAGGACAUGUAGUGGGUUCUUGCCGUAAAACCCCCCAUUUUUUAAGGUUGACCUCGGAUCAGGUAGGAAUACCCGCUGAACUUA